GAUGAACGCUGGCGGCGUGCCUAAUACAUGCAAGUCGAGCGAACAGAUCAGGAGCUUGCUCCUUUGACGUUAGCGGCGGACGGGUGAGUAACACGUGGGUCACCUCCCUAUCAGACUGGGAUCACUUCGGGAAACCGGAGCUAAUACCGGAUAAUAUUUCGAACCGCUUGGUUCGAUAGUGAAAGAUGGUUUUGCUAUCACUUAUAGAUGGACCCGCGCCGUAUUAGCUAGUUGGUAAGGUAACGGCUUAUCAAGGCGACGAUACGUAGCCGACCUGAGAGGGGGGUCGCCCACCUGGGAGCGUGGACAGGGACCAGACGCCUGCGGGAGGGAGCAGAAGGGAAUGGGAGGCAAUGGGCGAAAGCCUUACGGAACAAGCGCGCGCGAGAGAUGAAGAUCUUCGGAGCGUAAAACUCUGCUAUGAGUGAUGAACAGACGUGUAAGUAGCUGUGCACUGCUUGACGGUACCGAAUCAGAAAGCCACGGCUAACUACGUG
rnacentral:rRNA from 1 species